UGGGGUUCCUCUGGUUGGCUGGCUACCAUGCAUGUCGUGUGUUGCUUAUAUCAGAAGGUGAGGGUUCUGUGUGGUGUAGAUGCUGUCGGUUAGCCGGCCUUGCUUCUCACAAGGGGCGUUUCUGGGGAGAACGCUGGGGUCUGUGUGGGCUCAAGGAGGAUCCCGUCUCCCCUUAUGUUUCUGGUACAGGAUCAGAUGUGGCCGCCCAGCAGUUGUGCACAUAGGAGGAGAAGGGGCCAGGUGGGAAAAGGGAGCAAGAGGCAGGAAAGAGCACAGACUUCGACGUUCAGACCUGGGUUCCCGUCCAGUUCCAUUCCUUGCACAGGGAAUCCCUGACAUCGUCAUCCGUCUCCUGUGCCUUUCCGCUGGGUCAGCCUCCUCCCACCAAGCUUCUGACCCACUGUCAUCCGCAGCUGCCACUCUAGCUGCAGAGCUCGACUGGGCUCUGGUUUCUCAGAAGAGCUCAGAGGACCUGGCUCCUCCCUCUUUGCUUCUGAACUGCAUUUCUUUCCUUAUUACUCAGUGUCCACACCCACGGUGGCUGCCUGGAUAAAAAUCUGCCCCUUUCUCCCGUCA